rnacentral:rRNA from 1 species
UACACGACCGUACCGCAAACCGACACUGGUGCGCGAGAUGAGUAUUCUCAGGCGCUUGAGAGAACUCGGGAGAAGGAACUCGGCAAAUUGACACCGUAACUUCGGAAGAAGGUGUGCCUUUAGUAGGUGAAGUCCCUCGCGGAUGGAGCCCAAUGAGGUUGCAAAGAAUCGGUGGCUGCGACUGUUUAAUAAAAACACAGCACUCUGCAAACACGAAAGUGGACGUAUAGGGUGUGACGCCUGCCCGGUGCUGGAAGAUUAAGUGAUGGGGUGCAAGCUCUUGAUCGAAGUCCCAGUAAACGGCGGCCGUAACUAUAACGGUCCUAAGGUAGCGAAAUUCCUUGUCGGGUAAGUUCCGACCUGCACGAAUGGCGUGACGAUGGCCACACUGUCUCCUCCCGAGACUCAGCGAAGUUGAAAUGUUUGUGAUGAUGCAAUCUCCCCGCGGAAAGACGGAAAGACCCCAUGAACCUUUACUGUAGCUUUGUAUUGGACUUUGAACGGAUCUGUGUAGGAUAGGUGGGAGGCUUUGAAGCCGGGUCGCUAGAUCUGGUGGAGCCAACGUCGAAAUACCACCCUGGUGCGUUUGAGGUUCUAACCUAGGCCCGUUAUCCGGGCCGGGGACAGUGCAUGGUAGGCAGUUUGACUGGGGCGGUCUCCUCCCAAAGCGUAACGGAGGAGUUCGAAGGUACGCUAGUUACGGUCGGACAUCGUGACGAUAGUGCAAUGGCAUAAGCGUGCUUAACUGCGAGACUGACAAGUCGAGCAGAUGCGAAAGCAGGACAUAGUGAUCCGGUGGUUCUGUAUGGAAGGGCCAUCGCUCAACGGAUAAAAGGUACUCUGGGAUAACAGGCUGAUACCGCCCAAGAGUUCAUAUCGACGGCGGUGUUUGGCACCUCGAUGUCGGCUCAUCUCAUCCUGGGGCUGUAGCCGGUCCCAAGGGUAUGGCUGUUCGCCAUUUAAAGAGGUACGUGAGCUGGGUUUAAAACGUCGUGAGACAGUUUGGUCCCUAUCUUCCGUGGGCGCUGCAGAUUUGAGGAAGCCUGCUCCUAGUACGAGAGGACCGGAGUGGACGCACCUCUGGUGUACCUGUUGUCACGCCAGUGGCAUUGCAGGGUAGCUAAGUGCGGAAGAGAUAACCGCUGAAAGCAUCUAAGCGGGAAACUCGUUUCAAGAUGAGAUCUGCCGGGGCCUUGAGCCCCCUGAAGAGUCGUUCUAGACCAGGACGUUGAUAGGUCAGGUGUGGAAGCGCAGUAAUGCGUUAAGCUAACUGAUACUAAUUGCUCGUGCGGCUUGAUC